rnacentral:rRNA from 1 species
GACGAACGCUGGCGGCGUGCUUAACACAUGCAAGUCGAACGGAAAGUCCCUGCUUUUGUGGGGUGCUCGAGUGGCGAACGGGUGAGUAACACGUGAGUAACCUGCCCUUGACUUUGGGAUAACUUCAGGAAACUGGGGCUAAUACCGGAUAGGAGCUCCUGCUGCAUGGUGGGGGUUGGAAAGUUUCGGCGGUUGGGGAUGGACUCGCGGCUUAUCAGCUUGUUGGUGGGGUAGUGGCUUACCAAGGCUUUGACGGGUAGCCGGCCUGAGAGGGUGACCGGCCACAUUGGGACUGAGCUACGGCCCAGACUCCUACGGGAGGCAGCAGUGGGGAAUAUUGCACAAUGGGCGGAAGCCUGAUGCAGCACCGCCGCGUGCGGGAUGACGGCCUUCGGGUUGUAAACCGCUUUCGCCUGUGACGAAGCGUGAGUGACGGUAAUGGGUAAAGAAGCACCGGCUAACUACGUG